GAUGAACGCUGGCGGCGUGCUUAACACAUGCAAGUCGAACGGACAGGCCCUGCUUUUGCGGGGUGCUCGAGUGGGGAAGGGGGGAGUAACACGCGUGUAACCUCCCCUUGUCUGUGGGGUAACAUCUGGAAACUGGGGCUAAAAUCCGAUAGGAGUUCUUGCUCCAUGGUGGGCGUUGGAAAGUUUCGGCUGUGCGGGAUGGACUCGCUGCUUAUCGGCUUGCUUGUGAGGUAGUUGCUUACCAAGGUUUUGACGGGUAGCCGGCCUGGGAGGGUGACCGGCGUCAUUGGGACUGAGAUACGGCGCAGACUCCUAUGGGACGCAGCAGUGGGGAGUAUUGCACAGUAGGCGCGAGCGAGAUAUGGCGGCCCCGCGUGCGUGAUGACGGCCUACGGGUUAUGAACAACUGUCGCAUGUGACGAAGCGUGAGUGACGGUAAUGAGUAAGAAAGCCCCGGCUAACUACGUG
rnacentral:rRNA from 1 species